ACACAUGCAAGUCGAACGGAAGUUAGAGCUUCGGUUUUAACUUUAGUGGCGAACGGGUGAGUAACGCGUGAGGAACCUGCCUUUCAGUGGGGGACAACAGUUGGAAACGACUGCUAAUACCGCAUGAUGCUUUUGGGAGACAUCUCUUGGAAGCCAAAGCUUUAUGUGCUGAAAGAUGGCCUCGCGUCUGAUUAGCUAGUUGGUGAGGUAACGGCUCACCAAGGCGACGGUCAGUAGCCGGUCUGAGAGGAUGAACGGCCACAUUGGGACUGAGAUACGGCCCAGACUCCUACGGGAGGCAGCAGUGGGGAAUAUUGGGCAAUGGGGGAAACCCUGACCCAGCAACGCCGCGUGAAGGAAGAAGGCCUUCGGGUUGUAAACUUCUUUUACCAGGGACGAAGGACGUGACGGUACCUGGAGAAAAAGCAACGGCUAACUACGUGCCAGCAGCCGCGGUAAUACGUAGGUUGCAAGCGUUGUCCGGAUUUACUGGGUGUAAAGGGCGUGUAGGCGGAGAUGCAAGUUGGGAGUGAAAUCCAUGGGCUCAACCCAUGAACUGCUCUCAAAACUGUAUCCCUUGAGUAUCGGAGAGGCAAGCGGAAUUCCUAGUGUAGCGGUGAAAUGCGUAGAUAUUAGGAGGAACACCAGUGGCGAAGGCGGCUUGCUGGACGACAACUGACGCUGAGGCGCGAAAGCGUGGGGAGCAAACAGGAUUAGAUACCCUGGUAGUCCACGCUGUAAACGAUGAAUACUAGGUGUGGGAGGACUGACCCCUUCCGUGCCGCAGUUAACACAAUAAGUAUUCCACCUGGGGAGUACGACCGCA
rnacentral:rRNA from 1 species